rnacentral:rRNA from 1 species
UACGUAGGGUGCGAGCGUUAAUCGGAAUUACUGGGCGUAAAGCGCGCGUAGGCGGCUUUGUAAGUUAGAGGUGAAAGCCCGGAGCUCAACUCCGGAACUGCCUUUAAAACUGCAUCGCUUGAAUCCGGGAGAGGUGAGUGGAAUUCCGAGUGUAGAGGUGAAAUUCGUAGAUAUUCGGAAGAACACCAGUGGCGAAGGCGGCUCACUGGACCGGCAUUGACGCUGAGGUGCGAAAGCGUGGGGAGCAAACAGG